rnacentral:lncRNA from 1 species
UUAAUCUAUCACAUGAAGUAUAGUGAAGGCUCGAGUUACGAGUAACGUCGAGAGUUAUAGCUCCCGUUUCUAGUAACUUCCAUGUUUAUUAGCAUUAAUUAUCUGUAAUGGAGCUCGGCUGGUCGUGACAGCAACUAUAUAAGCCACUCCCGGGCUCCAGCUCGAGGGUUCAACACUUUGUAAUCUUUCAUACCCCAUAAGAAAACACUAGCCUGAGGCUCGAGACGUAGGGUUGUUACCACUUUCGAG